rnacentral:rRNA from 1 species
AUUGAACGCUGGCGGCAGGCCUAACACAUGCAAGUCGAGCGGAUGACAGGAGCUUGCUCCUGAAUUCAGCGGCGGACGGGUGAGUAAUGCCUAGGAAUCUGCCUAUUAGUGGGGGACAACGUUUCGAAAGGAACGCUAAUACCGCAUACGUCCUACGGGAGAAAGCAGGGGACCUUCGGGCCUUGCGCUAAUAGAUGAGCCUAGGUCGGAUUAGCUAGUUGGUGGGGUAAUGGCUCACCAAGGCGACGAUCCGUAACUGGUCU